GAGCAGCACUGAUGUAAUAAAUAAAGCCUCUGUUUAAGAGGAAGUGUAAUGUUGAGUGAGACAGGAAUAGAGCAGAUGUUCAGGAAUUGGGGAAGUGAGAGCUGUAGCUUACAGUACAAGGCUGAUGACUGAGGCAAGGGCGCAGGUAGAGGAAGAGUCCAGCAGACAGCUCAGGACUGAGGUGAUGGUGUGACUGAUAUGGACACGACUCGAGAAAUUCCAGAGAAAAGAUCACCUUUUGUCACGGGUGACCAAUGGGACAGCCAUGGCAACAACCACUGGCCAAUAAUCACAGAGACUUUGGUGGAAAUGCUCUAUAAAAUGGGAAAGAAUAGAGGAACUAGUUGGUUGUUUCCUCGCAGAAGACCAGCGAACGAGACCGGAUGGAGAAAUAUGCUACAGAUGAAACAGAGGACCAAAGGAUCAACCCGUGCCCUGGAAGGACUGUGCCUCGAAAUUAAGAAUCUGAUUUCAUCUAUGGCCUUUUUAUCCAGACAACAGAAGUGAACUUGAUCAGUGAACAACUGAUUGCUAUGAGUUUCAGGCUUCUAGAAGUCCUGAAUCAACCUCAUUUGUACCUCCUGGGCUUCCUUUAACUCUUCAGCCUCUGGAAGCUACUGUCUUCUGAGACAUAUGACAAGAAAGUUCCUGUUUGACCAUCGAAACCUGGAGCAUCAGUGCCUCCACUUAGAGGAAGAAAACUGAAGAUUAAGUCAUCUUUCCUUCAAGAAAUCAUUCGUUGUUACCAGAGGAAACAACCCCUUUGGGUACAUGGAUGAGCCUCCGUCUUUAAAGCCUCUCCAACCUCAUUAGUUUCAGCAUCAGGGUGAUAAUAAUCCCAACUACAGUGGCCAUUAGCUGCAGAAGAUGGCAGCUACUCUGGGUGCACACUGUCUGCGUCAGGAAUGCCAAUCACAGCAGAAAAACAUGAAAACGGAUGGACUGGUACGCUCUGACUCAGCAGACACCUCCCUGAGGAGGGGCAACCAUCCCCACACACACACCCACGCACGAGCGUCUACACUAUGAAACACAGCAAGAAAUAAAGAAAACACAUUUAUACACAGAGGCAAAAGCUGCUGUAUAAAGAUUAUUUUUUCACAAAUUCUUACAUGUUUUCACUGCUAAGACUAUAAUAAAGGAUCAAUUCCCAGUACGCUGACCAGAAACGUAUCAAAAAGAAAUGAAGCGCGCUCUUAGGUAAGCAAUUCCCACAUUUACAUCUUUAAUUUUUAGUUAUUCCAGUUACUUUGUCAACAGAACGAAUUAAACACUACGUCUUCAGUCACUGAUGAAUCAGUCAUGGGCCUGGUAAUCCAGGCAUUUCAAACGUUUCAAAUGGGUAGGGUUUUUUCUUUAUUUACUUUCCUUAAGAUUUAAAGUACGAAUGCACGUUCAGAAAAACAUCCGAUAAUCUUGAGGAAUAUCCCAAUGACCAUAUGACUCCCCGAUGAAUAAAUAAGUCUAAGGUGUUAA